rnacentral:misc_RNA from 1 species
GAAAUGCGAUAAGUAAUGUGAAUUGCAGAAUUCAGUGAAUCAUCGAAUCUUUGAACGCACAUUGCGCCCGCCAGUAUUCUGGCGGGCAUGCCUGUCCGAGCGUCAUUUCAACCAUCAAGCCCCCGGGCUUGUGUUGGGGACCUGCGGCUGCCCGCAGGCCCUGAAAACCAGUGGCGGGCUCGCUGUCACACCGAGCGUAGUAGCAAUCACCUCGCUCAGGGCGUGCCGCGGGUUCCGGCCGUUAAACAGCCUUACAAAACCCAAGGUUGACCUCGGAUCAGGUAGGAAGACCCGCUGAACUUAAGC